rnacentral:lncRNA from 1 species
AAUGACGUUGUCCAAAUUAAAUUUUGUUUACAGUUGGUACAAAUAAAAUGUUUACUAUAAUAGAACUUGGACUGGUUCAGGUCGACAGUCUACGCCAUAACAUGCUUGACGUCUAAGCUUUAUUGUUCAGGUCACGUGAGCUCCACCUGCUUAGCUCAGCUUGAUUGUUCAGGUAAAACGAGCUUCAUCUGCUUAACUUAGUUUGAUCGUUCAGAUAAUGUGAGCUCCGCCAUCAAGUCGUUGUCCAGACAUCAUUGUGGUCCUCCUCUUGAGAGUAUCUCAGAACACGCCACACGUCUUGCACAGACAAGUGACGUGAGCUGUGUACCCUUGACUCCACGUGCCUUGUACGGACGAGCAGUUCAAGGAAACAUGAUCGGCUCCACGCGUCUGGUACAAGUGAUCCAUAUUGACCUCAGAGAGUUAAUGGGCCUGGACAUCCAAAGAAAGACCUAUUAGAUCUAGAAAAUGAGGCCUAUAAAAAGAGGCAUCUAGAGAACAGAAGAGGGAUCAAAUUCAUUAUCUUGAACACAAUGUUUUUUCAGCUAAGUCUUAUUUAAAGUGCUCUUAAAAUUAUAUUUCAUUGAGCAACUUACCUAUUGUAAUUAACUUGUGUUUACAUACGUGAACAAAACUAUUUCAUUUGCAUCCCAAUGUAAAGGAAACAAUACAAAUUAGAACAACAAAAGAAAACAUGAG